AUGUCGACAUCCCUCACUAAGGUGGGGGGCGUAGUGGUCAUCACGCAAGUCAUCCCGCAGGAUGAAGCCUCCAUCCCGCUUCACAGUGUUCCGGGCGGCGCACAGGCCACGCCCACCACCGCACCGACCACACCCCCAGCCCGACGUCUUCUGCCCCCCACCAAGUUGGAUGAAUUAAGUGCAUCCUUUCUUCAGGGGGGGCCUCAGGGUCUUGGGGUGGUUCAGAUCAUCGUGGGGGUUUUAUGUGUUCUGUUCAGUCUGAGAGCCGCCUACUCGCCGCUCCUGGUCCUUCACGCUCCUCUGUGCCUCACCGUCACUUUUGUGGUUUCAGGCUCUCUGACUUUGGCAACACUGAAGAAAACGUCAGCGUCUUUGGUCUGGGCCAGUAUUGUGUCAAACAUCAUCAGCGUGCUGGUGGGCGUAGGGGGCGUGGCCUAUCUGUGCUUCCUGAUAGCUAUAUACCAGCCUGCUUACAUUUUCUGUGACGAUGAAACCUGGGGGGACGUAACUCCUACAGAGGAGGAGAGGAACAGAUGCUUGGGGAGGAUCAAAAUACUUGAUGCAUCAGAAUAUGGAUCUUUAGGCCUCCUCGUGGUUCUCCUGGUUCUGCAGGUCUGCGUAUCCAUCACCGUCUCCUUUUUCUCUGCUCGGGCCAUCAGACGCCACGGACGCACCGUCACAGAAGUCUUUGAUGAUGUUCGCCCCCUGCUUGAUGCCAUGGCAGCAGCCCCCGACAACAGUGUUGCCCCAGCUGUAUCGCCUAGAUGAAGAAGUCUCCAUCCGUUCUCCAAAGCCCACAUAAGCGGAAGAACGAACUGACCAGAGUCCCGAGUUCUGACAUCAUUCUCAAACCAGAACUAAGAUGAGAGCACGCCAUUGAUGCAGUCCAUACAGCACAUAAGAUUAAUGAUAACCAAAUUCAGAUAACAGCAACGCCCAAGCCAAAGAGCCACAAUCAAGCAAAUCUGCGUUUUCACCACACAGUCGUCUUUCAUCACUGAGAUUUUUGCAGCAAAAGUCUGUCCUUAGCUGUGCUGGUGUGUCUGUCGCUGCACCUGUGUGUUAAUGUUGGUCUGAAUGUGUGUGAUGUUGCCACUCGGUGCACCAGUUAGUGACACUGGGACGCUGCAUCCCCAUCACACCGAUCCAGGCCAAGAAUAGCACAGAUAGACAGAACAUCCAGUGACCCCCCCAGGACCAAAGUUGUCCAUCCCCUGGACAACCACCAUCCCACCCCCAGGACCGCCGAUGGAGCCUCUGCAGCCAUACGUGAUCAGAUGAUCAGGGACAGCACACUCCCCACACUUAAAUGCCCUCAACCCUUCUGUGGUGUUCGGGUCUGUGGGAGCCGUUUUCACUUUUUAUUAAAAAAUAAAGAUAAGUUCAAAGAAAUAAAAGUCAGUAGUUUUGAAAAACCUUGCUUCACUUGUAACUUUGUUUCUGCUCAUAUCUUGAUUUUAAUUGAUUUUCUUUAUUAUGUUUUAAAUAAUAAGUUAUAAAUGUGACCUAACAAAGGUAAAGGGCAAAUAUUAACCAUAUAUAUUGUUUAUACUGCUUGUAAUUGGGAUGAGGUAAACAUCUGUUCAGUAUUUUAACAUAAAAGUGUUUGAUUGUGAGGUAUUAAAAGCCACAAAAUGCAACGGGUCCAUCAGACCCACAAACGCUGGCUGAGUAACAACAAUAUGAACAUUACACAAGGGUUCAUUAGUAGAAGUUCACAUCUUCCUGUAAACCUGUCAACAGCCAGCAAAGAGCCCAACCUGAACCUGGCAGUCUCAAUAUUACUCUCCCACAUCCACAUGUUACAAGGGUAUUGUUGAGGAAGUCAUCUUUACAAGUUGUGCAUUUUUGUUCCUUUAUGACUGACAAAAUCAACCGCAGUAAUUAGCUGCAGUUAUUAACUACCAUGAAUAAAUAAAGGUGAAACAAUAGAGAGCCUUUUGUGCAAUUUCCUUAACAGAACAAUGUCUGAUGUGUGUGUGUGAGUGUUGUUUAGGAUUAUUUUGUUGUGUGAA
rnacentral:lncRNA from 1 species